ACCAAUCUGAGUGAAAAAUGACAAACAAAACACAGUAUAGCAGGCAAUUAAAGCCUGCCAACAUAAUAUUUUUAACAAAAAUAUAUCACAUUAACAAGUCAUAAACUGAUGCCGCAAUUUUACUUUAUUCCAUGGGAAAAACAAGCACAUUCAUGUUAUAAGAUCAUGGAAUGCUGCGCUGAUAGAGUGGUAGGGCGCCCAAAGCCUCCCCCGCCAUUCCAGUUGUUACUAGGAUCAACUCGUAACUGUUUGUUUGUCGGAUUACGACCCCAUGAAAGCCGCACAGUCUGUUUGCCGAUAACGGUGCCAUUCAACCCUUGCAGUGCUUCUUCAGCAUUGUUCCUUUGGGCGAACUGCACAAAACCACAUUGUUUGCCAACUGGAAUUUUUAUAGAGGUAAUCUCACCAAAUUUAGAAAAUGACUGCCUCAAUUCAUCUUCAUUAACACUAGGGUCGAGUCCCCCAACAAAUACUGUUGUGUUGGUUGAAUCACCAUCCGAAUGAAAACCAUGUGCUGCACCAUUGGAUCCAAAAACUCCUGAUGACUUCCUGGGAGUCGCAGCACCAAUACGCAUUGGC
rnacentral:misc_RNA from 1 species